AAGUGAAACGCCGUAGCGCCGAUGGUAGUGUGGGGUCUCCCCAUGCGAGAGUAGGGAACUGCCAGGCAUCAAAUAGAAUGAAAGGCUCAGUCGAAAGGCUGGGCCUUUUGUUUUAUCUGUAGUCUGUCGGUGAGCACUCGUUGCGCAGCAACGGCUCGUAGGGGGGCGGGCAGGACGCCCGCCAUAAACUGCCAGGCAUCAGACAAGUGAAGAAGCCCGUCCGUCAGGACGGGCUUUUUUGCGUGUGUGGUAACAUUUAAAAAUGCAGGCCUGAUAAGCGCAGCGCCAUCAGGCAACCUGCACCGCCGGAUGGCAGCUUCGCCUUAUCCGGCCUACGGCAUCGACAUAAUGCCUGUGUAUACCGCCUUAUUCCGUCGACAUAACCGCAAGCCUUCCCUAC
rnacentral:rRNA from 1 species